ACCGGUUAGCAUUCGGGUCGGGCCCAAAGUCCUAAUUCUGAAAUCCGAAACCCCGCCAAGGACUUUAUAAUAAAUUCAAACAUCUUCUUUUCCCGGCAAACCUCGCUGUAAUUUGAGAAGAAAACGAUCGUUCCACAUUGUCUUCCAUCUUGCACAGUCGAUCUAGAGGUGAAAUUCUCUAUCAUCUCUCUCUCGACAGAAACCGCAAAUACCGGAACGUUAAAUGCAUUUCCAAAGAAUUAUUUAUAUUUCUCAGCAAAGACAGCGGAUUUCAAAAUUCUAAGAAUAUAGUUCAGAUCGGUGUAGCGAUUGAAUUGUGGGGAAACUGCCGUUCCGUCUUCUGGUAAGAUUUUUCUUUAUUUUAUUUUUUUGAAGAUUUAAUACAUGGAUGCUCCCAUUCAAGGAAUGGAAACUGUGGAAACAACUAUUACCAUGGCUUGAUGCAGUUUUGUAGGUGGGAUGUCAAGCUCUAAGACGCAUUUGGUGUGUGUUGAAAAUUUGAGGGAAGAAAAUAGGACCUUGCCAAGAAGUUUAAAACAGUUGCAGGGAAUCAUCAGUGGAUUGAAGAUUGCGUAAAGCAAGGGAAGCGUGUACCUGAGCAACCUUACACGUUGCAAAGGUGCAUAUGCUGCAUUUGUUAUAAAUCUGUUGUGUAUAUUAAACUGCUAGGCAUAAUUUCUGAAAGGUAUAUUAAACCUUACCCUAUUUAAUAUAUAUGCUUCUGAAAGGUAAAAAAGGAUGUUAUUUAAAAUAAUGGCUGGUAUUGGCGGUAAGAGUGCUUGUGCAAUCUUUUGUUAAAUUUUGAAGAAUAAUUAUCAAAGAUCAAUCGCUUUAGCAAUUAUGAGUUUAGAUGUUUUUUACUUUAAUAGGUGCUCUUAAAGUAAGAGGUUUGUAAGAAGUUUGUUGUGCUGCUAUCCUAAUAAUUGCAAACUCGUGCCCAAACGAAGUUUCUAUAUAGGAUCAUUAAUAAAAGCAUCCCUUUACUUCUUGCAAUUUGCAGUUGGAUAGAUGUUUAUUUACUCUUUCAUUCAACGCUGUGAACUUCUAAUUAUGGAUCUCAAUGGAAAAAAGUUACAUUGCCAAGUUCUUUUCUUCACCCCACACUUCAUCAUUCAUUCUGUGAAAUUAUUUGAUAGAUUCUCCCUUUUCCUCUGCUCAUAUGAGUUAUAAUCUGCAAACCUGUACUUCCUUUUCAUAUUGAUUAUAAAUUCCAAUUUGCUGGGAUUUGCCUUCUUGUAAAAGAGAUAGAGCGUAGGACUGUUCUAUGAACAAUUCCUUGAUGGAUUCCGAACCUUUUAUGUUUAGUGGUGCUUAAAACCAGAGUAUAACUUAUUCUAACAUUUUGUUCGGUCUAGUUAGACGAUAGACAAAGCUACCAUACUAAAACAUGACCGAGUAGAAAUCAUAAAAUAAAAAUGCUACUACAAGAAGCUUACAAACCUUUCAACUUCUUGUAGAGAUGAUAAUUAGCCUUUACAAAAGAUGAAAGAUUGCCCCUUUGAUUUU